CUAGCACUCCCUGCACCAGA
rnacentral:snRNA from 1 species